UAUCCACAGUGUCCAAGAGUCCUUACUG
rnacentral:piRNA from 1 species